AUUGAACGUUGGCGGCAGGCCUAAAACAUGCAAGUCGAACGGUAACAGCGGAAGCUUGCUUCCGGCUGACGAGUGGCGGACGGGUGAGUAACACGUAGGAAUCUACCUAGUAGUGGGGGACAACCCGGGGAAACCCGGGCUAAUACCGCAUACGCUCUACGGAGGAAAGCGGGGGAGUCUUCGGACCUCGCGCUAUUGGAGGAGCCUGCGUCGGAUUAGCUAGUUGGUGGGGUAAAGGCCUACCAAGGCGACGAUCCGAGCUGGUCUGAGAGGACGAUCAGCCACACUGGAACUGAGACACGGUCCAGACUCCUACGGGAGGCAGCAGUUAGGAAUCUUGGGCAAUGGGCGCAAGCCUGACCCAGCCAUGCCGCGUGUGUGAAGAAGGCCU
rnacentral:rRNA from 1 species